UACACUCCUGCGGGAGGCAGCAGUGGGGUAUAUUGCACAAUGGGCGCAAGCCUGAUGCAGCCAUGCCGCGUGUAUGAAGAAGGCCUUCGGGUUGUAAAGUACUUUCAGCGGGGAGGAAGGCGAUAAGGUUAAUAACCUUGUUGAUUGACGUUACCCGCAGAAGAAGCACCGGCUAACUCCGUGCCAGCAGCCGCGGUAAUACGGAGGGUGCAAGCGUUAAUCGGAAUUACUGGGCGUAAAGCGCACGCAGGCGGUCUGUCAAGUCGGAUGUGAAAUCCCCGGGCUCAACCUGGGAACUGCAUUCGAAACUGGCAGGCUAGAGUCUUGUAGAGGGGGGUAGAAUUCCAGGUGUAGCGGUGAAAUGCGUAGAGAUCUGGAGGAAUACCGGUGGCGAAGGCGGCCCCCUGGACAAAGACUGACGCUCAGGUGCGAAAGCGUGGGGAGCAAACAGGAUUAGAUACCCGAGUAGUCCCAUG
rnacentral:rRNA from 1 species